rnacentral:rRNA from 1 species
CCUACGGGAGGCUGCAGUGAGGAAUAUUGGUCAAUGGACGAGAGUCUGAACCAGCCAAGUAGCGUGAAGGAUGACUGCCCUAUGGGUUGUAAACUUCUUUUAUAUGGGAAUAAAAUGUUCCACGUGUGGGAUUUUGUAUGUACCAUAUGAAUAAGGAUCGGCUAACUCCGUGCCAGCAGCCGCGAUAAUACGGAGGAUCCGAGCGUUAUCCGGAUUUAUUGGGUUUAAAGGGAGCGUAGGUGGAUUGUUAAGUCAGUUGUGAAGGUUUGCGGCUCAACCGUAAAAUUGCAGUUGAAACUGGCAGUCUUGAGUACAGUAGAGGUGUGCGGAAUUCGUGGUGUAGCGGGGAAAUGCUUAGAUAUCACGAAGAACUCCGAUUGCGAAGGCAGCUCACUGGACUGCAACUGACACUGAGGCUCGAAAGUGUGGGUAUCAAACAGGAUUAGAUACCCUAGUAGUC